GUGAGAGUGAGAGAAAAGUAUUUUAUGCACUGAAAUGCCCUAAUCAUUGUGUCGAAAAUUUGACUCAAAAUGCAGAAGAUGGUGCAACUGGAAAACAUUAAAAUCACUGUUGGCUAUUCAGGAUUUAUUCUUGAUUGAACAGCCUGGUUUUCAGGGGUGUGCGAGCACCGAUGGCAGGGAUGGGUGACAUAGGGAUGAACAACAUUCAGGCAGUUCCUCAAGAGGCCAGCUAUAAUACUACCAUGUUACGGCCCCCUCACCUCCUCCUGUUUCCUGAAGGCAUAAAGGUGCAGCGGUGGAAGCUAGACAAAUAUUUCACUGCUAAUAACGGUGACAUUCUCCUUCCUGAGUUUAGAGUGAAGAAACAGAGAGACUUGUGACAUUUAAGUUAAAACUCCACAGCUAUGAGGAAGAACCUCUCACCUAGCAUAAACAGUCACUCGGAAAGCGACGCAAAGACAACUCAAACAUUACCUCAUCUACUCCCUGCUGUGAAAACAUCCCUACUUCAAAGUGCCUGAGUGUUUUUGGUACUUGUACGUGUGUGCCAUACAGAGGGGGGCUCCGUGUAUUAUUUUUCUUAAUCGUUCAUGCAGAAGGGGCAUUACAUAUUUUUGUGAUUUUUGGAUGUAGCCAGGCAGGAAGUUGCCUCGAUGCCCGGAUAACUUUGAACAAUUAGUGGACGCAGCGAUGCUCAGUCUUGCUUACUUUGUGGCUCGGGAGCUGUGAAGCCAGAUACUUAUUCAACAUUAAUCUUUAGAGCUGACUAGAGCCAGCCAUUCGUCAUCUCGACUGAUGUGAUUUCUCUGUUUAGCGGCCUGCCAGCAGCAUGCCACUGUCUGACGACAUCAAGCAGUUCACCUGUCGCUGCCAAAAUACUAAACAAAAACCACAUAAAGAAUCAUGUAUGAUUUGAGUUCCCCCUUCUCUCUGUUUCCCCUUACACACACACACACACAGAGGGCGUAGCCUCUUUUCACAUUCAACUCGAACAUCCAAUAACAGUUCACAUCACAUGAAUGAAUAAAGUGCAACGUUAACAUUAAGCA
ensembl:lncRNA